GACGAACGCUGGCGGCGUGCUUAACACAUGCAAGUCGAACGGAAAGGCCCUGCUUUUGUGGGGUGCUCGAGUGGCGAACGGGUGAGUAACACGUGAGUAACCUGCCCUUGACUUUGGGAUAACUUCAGGAAACUGGGGCUAAUACCGGAUAGGAGCUCCUGCUGCAUGGUGGGGGUUGGAAAGUUUCGGCGGUUGGGGAUGGACUCGCGGCUUAUCAGCUUGUUGGUGGGGUAGUGGCUUACCAAGGCUUUGACGGGUAGCCGGCCUGAGAGGGUGAACGGGGACAUGGGGACUGAGAUACGGACCAGACUCCUACGGGAGGCAGCAGGGGGGAAUAUUGCACAAUGGGCGGAAGCCUGAUGCAGCAACGCCGCGUGCGGGAUGACGUCCUUCGGGUUGUAAACCGCUUUCGCCUGUGACGAAGCGUGAGUGACGGUAAUGGGUAAAGAAGCACCGGCUAACUACGUG
rnacentral:rRNA from 1 species